rnacentral:rRNA from 1 species
GGGGAAUUUUCCGCAAUGGGCGCGAACCAGGCGGAGCAAUACCGCGUGAGGGAGGAAGGCUUUUGGGUUGUAAACCUCUUUUCUUAAGGAAGAAGAUCUGACGGUACUUAAGGAAUCAGCAUCGGCUAACUCCGUGCCAGCAGCCGCGGUAAUACGGAGGAUGCAAGCGUUAUCCGGAAUUAUUGGGCGUAAAGCGUCCGCAGGUGGCCUUUCAAGUCUGCUGUCAAAGACCAGAGCUCAACUCUGGGCCGGCGGUGGAAACUGGGAGGCUAGAGUACGGUAGGGGUAGAGGGAAUUCCCAGUGUAGCGGUGAAAUGCGUAGAGAUUGGGAAGAACACCAGUGGCGAAGGCGCUCUACUGGACCGAAACUGACACUCAGGGUUUUAAGCUAGGGGAGCGAAAGGGAUUAGAUACCCCUGUAGUC